rnacentral:rRNA from 1 species
AUUGAACGCUGGCGGCAGGCCUAACACAUGCAAGUCGAACGAGUGGCGGACGGGUGAGUAAUGUCUGGGAAACUGCCCGAUGGAGGGGGAUAACUACUGGAAACGGUAGCUAAUACCGCAUACCAUCGGAUGUGCCCAGAUGGGAUUAGCUAGUAGUUGGGGUAACGGCUCACCUAGGCGACGAUCCCUCGCUGGUCUGAGAGGAUGACCAGCCAAACUGGAACGAGGACACGGCCCAGACGCCUACGGGAGGCAGAGGUGGGGAAUAUUGCACAAUGGGCGCAAGCCUGAUGCAGCAAUGCCGCGUGGAUGAAGAAGGCCUUGGGGUUGUAAAGUACUUUCAGCGAGGAGGCGUUACUCGCAGAAGAAGCACCGGCUAACUCCGUGCCAGCAGCCGCGGUAAUUC